AACAUCUUUUUGUGAAUUUUUGCAAAUUGAUUUUUGCAAAUAACCUCAUCCAAAUAUUUGUUCGGUUUAUUUGGAUGUCUCCUCAUACCCGCCAUAAUCAAUUCCACCGAAAUACAAGAUUAACACUACCAUUACUGGUAUGAGAGAAAAAAUACUCGAUUGCCUACUAACCUUGUCAUAUCCCGCCUAAUUACCUCAUCCAAAUACUUGUUCCGUUUAUUUGGAUGUCUCCUCAUACCCGCCAUAAUCAAUCCCACCGAAAUACAAGAUUAACACUACCAUUACUGGUAUGAGAGAAAAGAUGCUCGAUUGCCUACUAACCUUGUCAUAUCCCGCCUAAUUACCUCAUCCAAAUACUUGUUCGGUUUAUUUGGAUGUCUCCUCAUACCAACCAUAAUCAAUCCCACCGAAAUACAAGAUUAACACUACCAUUACUGGUAUGAGAAAAAAGAUGCUCGAUUGCCUACUAACCUUGUCAUGUCCCGCCUAAUUACCACAUCCAAAUACUUGUUCGGUUUAAUUCUAUAUCUCCUCAUACCCACAAUUAUCAAUCUCACUGGGGCAUCAGACAUUUCAAUUCACACGUUCGAACCAUCUCAGCCUCCAUUGUGACAUAUUUAGAUAAGACAAAAAAUACAUUUGACCCAAAUAUUAACGGAGGCGAAUUUGAACCAUUUGUGAAAGAACAAUGGAGAAUUUGACCCUUUUCCCAGACUUCCUCUGAAAUUUGAAAUCAGCUCCAGAGCAAAGACGUAUAGAAAAUACCCUAGUCAAAGAUAUCUCUCCUCCAAAUCCAACUAUGGCGAUGAGCAAAGCUGCAAAACUACCCGAAGAAAUCAUAAUUGACAUACUUUCCCUCCUAC
rnacentral:lncRNA from 1 species